GAGUAAAGUUCAGGUGAACUAAUAAAUAUUUUAUUAUAUGUUUUGUUUGUAAUCUAUACACUAAAUAACCAUAAAAUAAUUUAUCACACGUUAACGAGUUUCUUAAAAAUGAACAAAUUAUAUAUCAACUAUUUAAUAUGUAAUUUGUUGAAAAAAGGCAUGAACAGAAUCAUGAUGAUGCAUCACCAUGAAUAUUAAAAAGUUUUGCAACUUCAUUAAGAUCACGAUAACAUCUAUCGGAUUUCAAUACUUGACGAGCUAUAGACAUCCUAUUAAACAAAUUCCAAAGAACUAUUCCAACAACUACAUCAUUUCUAAGCUGAUGUAUUCUGCUCUUCAUUAGUUAAAGAAGGCAAAUUACUAGAAAUACCUUUAGCAAAUACACCAACAGUAGGUAAAGAUGAGUCAAUAAUUCCAAUGGCUUCAUAACCAACUGCAGG